UACGGAGGGUGCAAACGUUGCUCGGAAUCAUUGGGCGUAAAGAGCUCGUAGGCGGCUUGUCGCGUCGGAUGUGAAAACUCGGGGCUCAACCUCGCGCUUGCAUUCGAUACGGGCAGGCUCGAGUUCGGUAGGGGAGACUGGAAUUCCUGGUGUAGCGGUGAAAUGCGCAGAUAUCAGGAGGAACACCGGUGGCGAAGGCGGGUCUCUGGGCCGAUACUGACGCUGAGGAGCGAAAGCGUGGGGAGCGAACAGG
rnacentral:rRNA from 1 species